AUUGAACGCUGGCGGCAGGCCUAACACAUGCAAGUCGAGCGGAUGAAGGGAGCUUGCUCCUGGAUUCAGCGGCGGACGGGUGAGUAAUGCCUAGGAAUCUGCCUGGUAGUGGGGGAUAACGUCCGGAAACGGGCGCUAAUACCGCAUACGUCCUGAGGGAGAAAGUGGGGGAUCUUCGGACCUCACGCUAUCAGAUGAGCCUAGGUCGGAUUAGCUAGUUGGUGGGGUAAAGGCCUACCAAGGCGACGAUCCGUAACUGGUCUGAGAGGAUGAUCAGUCACACGGGAACUGAGACACGGUCCAGACUCCUACGGGAGGCAGCAGUGUGGAAUAUUGGACAAUGGGCGAAAGCCUGAUCCAGCCAUGCCGCGUGUGUGAAGAAGGUCUUCGGAUUGUAAAGCACUUUAAGUUGGGAGGAAGGGCAGUAAGUUAAUACCUUGCUGUUUUGACGUUACCAACAGAAUAAGCACCGGCUAACUUCGUG
rnacentral:rRNA from 1 species